GACGAACGCUGGCGGCGUGCCUAAUACAUGCAAGUAGAACGCUGAAGGAGGGGCUUGCUUCUCCGGAUGAGUUGCGAACGGGUGAGUAACGCGUAGGUAACCUGCCUGGUAGCGGGGGAUAACUAUUGGAAACGAUAGCUAAUACCGCAUAAGAGUAGAUGUCGCAUGACAUUUGCUUAAAAGGUGCAACUGCACCACUACCAGAUGGACCUGCGUUGUAUUAGCUAGUUGGUGAGGUAACGGCUCACCAAGGCAACGAUACAUAGCCGACCUGAGAGGGGGAUCGGCCACACUGGGACUGAGACACGGCCCAGACUCCUACGGGAGGCAGCAGUAGGGAAUCUUCGGCAAUGGACGGAAGUCUGACCGAGCAACGCCGCGUGAGUGAAGAAGGUUUUCGGAUCGUAAAGCUCUGUUGUAAGAGAAGAACGAGUGUGAGAGUGGAAAGUUCACACUGUGACGGUAUCUUACCAGAAAGGGACGGCUAACUACGUG
rnacentral:rRNA from 1 species